rnacentral:rRNA from 1 species
GUAGGGUGCAAGCGUUAAUCGGAAUUACUGGGCGUAAAGCGUGCGCAGGCGGUUGUGCAAGACAGAGGUGAAAUCCCCGGGCUCAACCUGGGAAUUGCAUUUGUGACUGCACGGCUAGAGUGUGUCAGAGGGGGGUAGAAUUCCACGUGUAGCAGUGAAAUGCGUAGAGAUGUGGAGGAAUACCGAUGGCGAAGGCAGCCCCCUGGGAUAACACUGACGCUCAUGCACGAAAGCGUGGGGAGCAAACAGG